ACCCUCUAGAGUCCGUAUACCUUGGAUCUAAACAUGGGUCAGAGAGGCUAUAAAAGGAAGGAAAGGAAAACUGAAGUGGGCUUGGGUGUUUUAGUGGCAGACAGGU
rnacentral:snoRNA from 1 species